GCGCGAGUGGCGGAAUUGGUAGACGCGCUGGCUUCAGGUGCCAGUGGUGGCAACAUCGUGGGGGUUCAAGUCCCCCCUCGCGCAC
rnacentral:tRNA from 1 species